rnacentral:rRNA from 1 species
CCUACGGGAUGCACCAGUGGGGAAUAUUGCACAAUGGGCGCAAGCCUGAUGCAGCCAUGCCGCGUGUGUGAAGAAGGCCUUCGGGUUGUAAAGCACUUUCAGCGGGGAGGAAGGCGUUAAGGUUAAUAACCUUAGCGAUUGACGUUACCCGCAGAAGAAGCACCGGCUAACUCCGUGCCAGCAGCCGCGGUAAUACGGAGGGUGCAAGCGUUAAUCGGAAUUACUGGGCGUAAAGCGCACGCAGGCGGUCUGUCAAGUCGGAUGUGAAAUCCCCGGGCUCAACCUGGGAACUGCAUUCGAAACUGGCAGGCUAGAGUCUUGUAGAGGGGGGUAGAAUUCCAGGUGUAGCGGUGAAAUGCGUAGAGAUCUGGAGGAAUACCGGUGGCGAAGGCGGCCCCCUGGACAAAGACUGACGCUCAGGUGCGAAAGCGUGGGGAGCAAACAGGAUUAGAUACCCCUGUAGUC